UACAGAGGGUGCAAGCGUUAAUCGGAAUUACUGGGCGUAAAGCGCGCGUAGGUGGUUCGUUAAGUUGGAUGUGAAAUCCCCGGGCUCAACCUGGGAAUGGCAUUGGAUACUGGCUCGCUAGAGUGCGGUAGAGGGUGGUGGAAUUCCCGGUGUAGCAGUGAAAUGCGUAGAGAUCGGGAGGAACAUCUGUGGCGAAGGCGGCCACCUGGACCAACACUGACACUGAGGCACGAAAGCGUGGGGAGCAAACAGG
rnacentral:rRNA from 1 species